UACGGGGGGGGCAAGCGUUGUUCGGAAUUACUGGGCGUAAAGGGCGCGUGGGCGGGUGGACAAGUCUCUCGUGAAAGCCCACGGCUCAACCGUGGAAUUGCGGGAGAUACUGUCUGUCUUGAGUCCGGGAGAGGAGGGUGGAAUUCCCAGUGUGGCGGUGAAAUGCGUAGAUAUUGGGAGGAACCCCGGUGGCGAAGGCGGCUCUCUGGCCCGGUACUGACGCUGAGGCGCGAAAGCUAGGGGAGCAAACGGG
rnacentral:rRNA from 1 species